AAUACUUAAGGGCCUAUGCUUAGCUAAAAGUUGUUAAGUGCAGGGCUUAGUAUUAUUCUUAGAAUAUUUGUGCAUACGGCCCCUGGUCCCCCCUUUAAAUGGGGCGGGCCAACACGGGUCGGCGCAUGCGCAGUAGAGGGGAGAACGUUCAGUCCGCCACUUUCGACCCAAGACCCAGGCCAGGACCAAGACUAUCGCCGCCGCCGCUAUUUACAUGCCUUAUUUCCCAUAUUUGGGUAUUUUCUGCUACAACCACUGCAUCUAGGAGGUGCCUGGUGAUCCGGAAUUACUGGGCCUGUUCCCCCCUCUACUGCGCAUGCGCCGACCCGUGUUGGCCCGCCCCAUUUAAAGGGGGGACCAGCUGGCCGCAUCCGCUCACGGUACGCUGCGGAAGCUCCUGGAGACAGGCGGCUCAUUCUGGCGCCCGACGCAUCUGAUUGGCUGUUCAGCAGCGCGUCUGUGAUUGGUUCACUUCGCCUCCCAUCUCUCUCUAGCUCUCGAUGACGUCAUUUGUAAACAAAACCUGGCGGGAUAUCAUAGCAGAGACUGCUCAACAGUGCCUACACGUUCUACAGUAGUAAUACCACCGCGGCACCGCCACAACGGUAGAGAGGGAUGACCUGAUGCCGCUAUCCCGACAUGGUAUACCUCCACCACAGCCCGUAACAGUGGCUGUUCAUCUUCACCCACACCUGAUCCACAUUAGCUGACCUGUUGGAUGGUUCUACUGCUCCCAGCCUGGCUUCCAAAGCAGUCAACCUUACCAGGACCAUGAUCCAUGAUGUUGUAAGUAAUGAGGAAAUAGCCAAACCUAAGGUGUCAACAGAAGAAAUUAAUAUGAUUCAUGAUGUAAGUAAUGAGGAAACCUAUGAUAGACAAGUUGUGAAAUACCAGGAACAAUUGAAAAACAAAAUUAUGUUACAGCUUCUCCCAAAAUGUAGUGAAAGUAAGGACCUUCAAGUUUUGAAAACUGCUAAUAGCUUGUUGUGUAAGUUAAUUGCAACAUUAG